rnacentral:rRNA from 1 species
GCCGGACCCCACUGCUAUCGGGAUAGGACUNNNANNUGCUAGUCGAGUGACUCAGGCAAAACGAGUCACGGCACACAGCUCAGUAACACGUGGCUAAUCUGCCCUUGGGACUAGAACAACCCCGGGAAACUGGGGCUAACUCUUGAUAGGUGAAGAACUCUGGGAUGAGUCUUUGCCUAAAUAGGUUCACGUUAUCCUCGUGAACUUGCCCAAGGAUGAGGCCGCGACCGAUCAGGUUGUUGGCGAGGUAAUGGCUCACCAAGCCUUUUACCGGUGCGGGCCGUGGGAGCGGGAGCCCGGAGAUGGGUACUGAGACAAGGACCCAGGCCCUACGGGGCGCAGCAGUCGCGAAACCUUUGCAAUACACGAAAGUGUGACAGGGCUAUCCCGAGUGCCAUCCGCUGAGGAAGGCUUUUACCCAGUCUAGAAAGCUGGGGGAAUAAGGAGAGGGCAAGUCUGGUGUCAGCCGCCGCGGUAAUACCAGCUCUCCGAGUGGUGUGG